GGGUUUUCUUAUCUUUAGGUAACUGUGAGCCCCUUGCUUUGGUGACCUUGGACAGGUCUGUCUUUAUGAACAGACCAAAAGGGGAUAAUGAGAGGUGGCUAAUGGGCUGUCUGCGUUUUAGACUCAGUUGGUAUGUGCCUGGGGCAGCUCUCCUUUCCAGCCCUCCACCAUCCCCAUCCCAAGUGACCGGGAGGGGUGGGCUGGCCCUCAACACUAUCGGGAUGGGGAGGUGGUGGGCCCCACUUCUUGGUAACUCUGUUUAACCCUAGAUAACUGCUCCCCUGCUCCCUCGGUUGGCGCUGAUAUGAGCUGAAUCCAACUUCCUGCCACCCCAAAGCCACUUCCUGCCAAACUUGAGCUGAUACCAGAAGAACUUGUUUUCUGUACACAGAGCAGUCCCUGAUGGGGUUGUUUUUGCAUUGGCCAGUCUACCUGGUAGGGCUGGGUGGGGGAGGAUGGGAACUCUGCCCUCCUUACCUGCUGCACCCACCUGUCCCGUCCUAGCCCUGCUUUUGUGCUGGCCAGCCAUGCCAGCCAGGUGUUCCACUGGGCCCAGACAGACAAUGUUUAGGCCAUGGCACACAGUCUGACCCAGCCACAUACAGCCAGUCUGAGAACACUGUGUGGGGGUUGUGAGGCCACCAGAAAUGUGAGUGACUGUCAACACACGAUAACAGUCAUAGUUGCAUACGUGAACACAUGACCUCACAGUCACACAACCAUAUGGAGUCAUGGGACAGUCUCACACACAAUUAAAUGCAGUCACACUCACAGUGCAUGGUAUCAGAACCCCGGCUUCAUCACAUACACCCAAGGUGAGCGGGAGUAUGUCAGCAAAUACUCUUUGAGGUCUGCCUGGGCAAGGCCUUGCACUAACCCUAAUAAGAAUAGCUGGAAUAGUCCUACCAUCAUGCACACAUUACAGCUGAGGGAACCAAGUCUUAGAGAAGCAGCCCGUAGAGGCACCAACUGCUCACUGCUGUCCCAGCCAGCCCAACUGCCCCCGUCCAGACACGGACUGUCUCCUCAGCCUGGAGCACCCUUCUGGCUUAUUCCUUUAGAACUGUCUACUCACACACAACUCUUGUACAAAACUCAAGCAGCUCCUGUUCAUUCCCUCAGAGGCUGGGUCAUUCACAAAAGAGCACAUCUCCCUUUGGCUUUAAGGGACAAGGAGACACGGCAUUUUGUCCUGGCUUCUGCUAUACUCUGUUCUGUGGCAUAGAGUAGGUGCUCAGCAACUAUUUCAGAAUUGAAAAGACUGCUAAGGACAGAGUCUGGACCGGAACCCAGGACACCUGAGGCUGGAGCUCAUUUCUGUUACUAUGCUUUUCAUACUGCCCAAAGACCCUUUAGCAACAGUGAUCAAUGAACGAAUGAAUGAAUGAAUGACCCAAGCUCUCAAGAUCCUAGGCCAGUGAUCCCCAGGCUAACCUCCUUCAUUUCCUGGCAGUGUGGACAAGAGCCAAGCUCCAGGCCCCUUGGAUAGUGGCAGGGCUGACGGCCGCCUAAAGCCGGCUGUCAGAAGCUUGUCUGGCCAGAGCUGCCAGCAGGGGAGACCAGCUGGCAGUGCAGGGUCCAUCGGCCCAGGCCUGGAAUCUGAGACGCCCUCAGAGGCCCGGCUUCUCUUUGGGCCCCCACAAACUGGCCUUUGUUCCUGGGCUAGCCAAGGCCGGCAGCUUGGGCUUUCUCUCUGCCUGCGGCACCCGCGCUGAGCUGGCGAGGUAAAUGGGCCAGCCUCCCCUCUGUCCAUGCCUAGGACGUUGCUUCAGGACUAAAUGGAGAUGUAAUUUUCUAUACAAAUCCAUGACAAUUUAGAUGGAGUGAUUGUAAUUGGCUUUUCAAUGGAGGUUUUGUCCAGCGCUGGUGGCUAGAACUGGGUGGCCUGUUUGAGGCAGGCUCCAUUUAAAUGACAAUAAAGCAAUAAUAUUGAGGACUUGUACAGCGCCCAGUGCCCCUCCUGAGCCCUUGAGGAACCUCAUGUUUAUGGAUCUGCUCCUUCCCUAGGGCUGUCUGGACAACAGGGUGCUGGGGGUCACUGCGGCUAGGAGAGGGGUGGCUGUACCUUUGGGCUUCAGGAAACAGCUGCAGAAUGGCUGGGGCAGGGCCCAUAUCCUCAACUACCUGUUCCCUCAUUCGUUACACACCCACUAGCCAGUACCUCCCAGGGCUGGAGGCUAGCCCAGGUGUUGGGGUGCUAAUGACCUCCCAGGUAGGCCAGAGGGAGGAGUCUGCUAUGUCUCAGUAUAUCACAGUGUGGCAGUCAUGACAGGGGCCCCAGGGAGCAUAAGCCAAAGCUUGACCCUCUUGUGACUGGCUUCCUGAGUGCCUGUAGCUGAGUUUCCCAGCCCUGAGGUGGAGUGCAGUGGAUGUCCCCGAGAGGAUGGAAUGUGUGCAGGGCGCAGCCCAGUACCUGGCAUGUGAAAGGUGCUAUAUAUAGUCAUUGCGGGUACUCACUAACCUCUCCUGCUCAGGAAGACUGGCUGGUGACCUCGGGCAGGACACAUGGCUAAAUCUCUUCAAACUUUUGUUGGCUUCUCUUUAAAAUGGGGCUUCUAGGGGAGCUGACCCUAUGGGGUUCUGAGGAGUAAGGCGAGGGCGUGUCCAAGCACUUAGCACAGGUCAGGCUCCAAUACCGUCCGCUCUCCUCACUGCCUCCUGCCUCCAGCAGCUUCUAUGAGGACAGCACCAAGUGUGGGGACCCACAGCAAGAGGAGCAAGCUGACAGGAGCCAGCGUGGGGCUGGCUCUGUCGCCUGAAGAUGCAACGGGGGAAGGAACGAUCUCGGGGAGGCUGUGCGGAAGAAGACGUCACAGAGGAAGCGGCAUUUGGCUGGACCGUUUCGCCAAGAGGAAGGGUGUCUACUACAGUGCUACCAGGAAGGUCCUGCAGCAUGGUCACUAGAAGGAGUGAUUCUCACCUGUCGGUGAGGUGUGAUGGCCACACAGGCUCUGUUGAAGUGACAGUGUUCAAGUCACUCCAGACGGCAAGCAGCCUGGGCGAGACAGCAUGGGAGCUGGUCUGGAAGUCCUGUCUCUACUGCCAGUGAAACAGGAAGCCACAGAGAAAAUAUCAGUGUUAUCAGCUCACUCAUGACCAUUGGGGAAGCUCCCGAGAACCGUCACUGUGACACGUGGACUACUUCUUAGCCAUAAGUGGACACCUACAGUCACCCCCUCCAAGGCUCCGGGAUCAUUGCUGAAGAGUGGGGCAGGAAGAGUGUAACAGCUGGACAACUCAAAAUAGCUUCAGGAAGUCCCUGAAACUGACCAGACCCACCAGGCCCUCCCUACCAGAGUAAGCAACAGAAGCUGAGCUUCCCUCUCAGACAGAAGGAAGGACGCUGAGCUGCAAAGAAGACUGUGAGGCCCAACCAGUUGCCUAGAAGAAGCAGAAACCAGGAAGAGGUUUAGACCAACUGAGGCACCUGGAAAGGAUGCCCUCCAAGCUGCUCAGCUGCCUGCAGGCAGUGCAGUGUGCUCCAGGUUCCCAGCUCUGUGAGCUGUCACCCAUGCUGGGGUGGGCCUUGGUGAUACAGCUGUCUUUGAGUCAUUUCUGCUCUUAUAAGUAACCCCUCACCCAUAUUUCUGUAAGUAACCCCUUAAAACUCAUCAGUUCACCAA